UUCACCAUGAGCUGUGCAAAUUUGGGAAUCUGGCCAAACUCCAGGGCCACCUAUCAUGAGCAGCCUUGUUUGCUGGCAAUUUGCAGAGUUGCAAGGGGUAAAGGACUGGCUUUGACUAUUCAGUCUUUCAGGAAAACUUGAUCCAGUCGGCUAUAUUCUUGGACUGGCAAAACUGUAAUGUUGAGUGCUUCUACCAACUGAUAAUCUAUGGGAAAUCAAGACAGAGCUGCUCUGGGAUGACUAUGCACAUUGAAGGAGGAGUGGAAUUUCAUUUACAAGACAUUUUGAUGAAGUCUCAGUAGGGAAGAAAACUAACUUCUGGAGAGAGCUUACCUGUGCUAGAUAAUUGUACUUGCAUUAUUUCACUGAAUCUUUUUGGCAAAGCUUUGAGGUAGGCAUUAUAGCUCCCUUUGCACAGAUAGAAAUACCAAGGAGAGAUGUAGACAUAUGCCUAAAUUUAUUUUUAAAUAACUGGUGUGAGGCAGAGCUGGGAGUCAAACUCAGGUGUUCUCCCUCUGACCCAGAGCACUUUCUUUCUUUUCUUUUUCUUUCUUUUUUUUUUUUUUUUUUGAGACGGAGUCUCACACUAUUGCACAGGCUAGAGUGCAGUGGCGCGAUCUCGGCUCACUGCAACCUCUGCCUCCCAGGUUCAAGCAAUUCUGCCUCAGCCUCCCAUGUAGCUGGGAUUACAGGUGCGUGCCACCAUGCCUGGCUAAUUUUUUUGGUGUGUGUAUUUUUAGUAAAGACAGGGUUUCACCAUGCUGGCCAGGCUGGUCUCAAACUCCUGACCUCAGGUGAUCUUCCUGCCUCGGCCUCCCAAAGUGCUGGGAUUACAGGCGUGAGCCACCGCAUCUGGCCCAGAGCACUUUCUGCUCCACCUCUGCACCUCUUUGCCUGCUCUAUCAUUAAUAUCACUGGUUUUCUUUUGGGCUAGUUUUUAGUUCUGGCUUAUGCUGAAACUAACGGACAUGCCACCUGAUGUGGACAGAGGUAGCUUAGAGGAUGUGGUCAUGUUUUGGGAAUCCAGUAUUGAGACUGAGAUCCAGCAUUAACUGUGGCUGAGAUCUGUCUCGAACACAUGCACACAUGUACACCCAUGUGCAUUUAAGUAGAAACAAUUGAGGGCUGAUAAGCCAAUCAAACGGUUGAUCUCUUCCAGUCACUGGAAAGGCAGCAGAGAGGGCGUGGAGACAGACACAUCUGGAUGAGAAACUCCAGCUCCACCCACUUAACAGCUGUGUGAUCUUGGAUGUGCCAUUUACUCUCUUGCCUCAGUUCGUUCAUCUGUGAAAUGGAGCAAACAUCACAUCCUUGGUGGUUGUGAAGAUUAACCAUGAUCAUGUUUCAUCACAUCUUGCCUGGAUGACUGCAGUGGCCACUAAGCUGGUCACAGAGUGAGCUUUCUUAAAUGCAAGUGUAAGGAUGGCAGAGCCUCAAGUGCUUCAGUUUCUCCAAGUGCCUGUUCCCUGAGUGGCAUACCAUUGAAGGCCAUCUGAGUCUGCAGCUAUGUUUCCACUCUCACUGGUGUGUGCACCUGGAGCUGUCACUUUUUCAAUAAUGCAUUUCUGACUCCCUCAUCAACAAAGGUCUCAGGUUUUUUCAUCUGUGAAAUGUGAGCAGAAACCCCAGCCCGGCAUACCUCCUACGGGUAGGUUGUGAUCCUGAUGUGAUCCUCAACAAGGCUGCUCAUGAUGUGUGUCUGCUGGAUGGAGGCCUCAGAAAACUCAUUUGACAUCUUGGCUGUAACUUUGUCCAAGUCUGUGUCUGAUGUCAUUAUGCAAUCAAUUCUAUACUAGAUUCUGCCGGGUAAGAUCUUAAAAGACAAAAGCUUUGUUCUCCAGAUCGUCACUGGUUUUGAGGACGUACCUUGUUCAUUCAUUCAUUCAUUCAUUCUGCAAAUUAUUUAUUAGAGCAAAUUAACUUCUGUGACUCUCAAUCUUCUCUUCUACAUAACAGGAAUAAUAAACCUUGCUUCAUAGGGUUAAGUUUUAGGCAUAUGGCUGGUACUCAAGAAAUGAUUAUUAUUAGAUUAUUAUUAUUAUUAGAUUCUUCACAGAAGUCUUAGUAGUAGUCAAAGCAUAAAAGACAUUUAAAGGCUGGACGCUGUGGCUCACAUCUGAAAUCCCAGCACUUUGGGAGGCAGAUGUGGGAGGAUCACCUGAGGUCAGGAGAUCAAGACCAUCCUGGCUAACACGGUGAAACCCCAUCUCUACUAAAAAUACAAAAAAUUAGCCAGGCAUGGUGGCGGGCGCCUGUAGUCCCAGCUCCUCGGGAGGCUGAAGCAGGAGAAUGUCGUGAACCCAGGAAGCAGAGCUUGUAGUGAGCCGAGAUCGCACCACUGCACUCCAGCCUGGGCGACAGAGCGAGACUCCGUCUCAAAAAAAAAAAAAAAAAAAAAAAAAAGAUUAAGUAGGGUCUACCCCUUGCCUCUAGUCUGGCAUAGUAGAAUUACUGUUAUUUUCUCAUUUUUUUAGUUGAAGAAACUGAAAGUGAGGUAAAGAGUCUUAUACCCAUGAACUGGACAUUAUUAUUUCUUUCCUUUCACAAAUGAGAAAACUGAGGCAUAGAGAUGAUAUUUAACUCUCCCCUAGGGACAUAUCACUAAUCAGCAGUAGAUCCCAAAUAGGACUGCAGGUAGCCUGGCUCCAGAGACUAGGAUUGUAGCCUCUAGACUCAAUGGGAUUAGAGGCUAUAGUGAGAAGAAUAUUGGAUUUGGAGUUAGAGCAAUCUGGCUUCUAAUCUCUGCUCCAGCACAGACUAUCUUGAACCUGGGAAAGCCACUUAACUGUCUGAGCUCUGGUUUCCUUAUCUGGGAACUGGAAAUAAUGAUAAUACCUACUCUGUAGGAAUCUUGUAAGAAAGAGAAGUAACAUAUGUCAUUCCUUAGGUAGUGUAAAUUCUAUCUUAGACCAUCAUAGACAUUUUUGCUUAAAGACAGGGUCUCACUCUGUCUCCCAGGCUGGAGUGCAGUGGUGCAAUCAUAGCUCACGGCAACCUUGAACUCCUGGGCUCAAGUGAUCCUCCUGUCUAGGCCUCCCACAGUGCUGGGAUUACAGGCAUGAGCUCCCAUGCCCGGCCAGGUCACCACAGACUCUUAAACAUCACAAGAACUUUUGCAAACAUGACUGUAUGGAAUUAGUGCAGUCACAUGAGGAGGAAUAUAGGAGAGAGAUUUUUUAUCCCUGUUUGCAGAUAAGGAAAGUAAGCCAGAGAGGAAGAGAAAGGGGGAAGGGAACUCUUUUAAAUGCUUUCAUUUAUUCAAUCAAUAUCAGUUAAGCAGCUAUUCAAUUUAUGUUGACUGAUAUCAUUUAUUUAAUAAAUGUCAGUUGAGCAGUAUCACAUCAUGAGGGGUACAAGGAUUGACCCUAUUUUUUUCUGGAUGAGGAACUGAGGCUCAGAUAAAGCAUAACUUGCACAUAGUCACAGAACUAAUCAUGAGCAACACUGCAAUUUAAACUAAGGUAUGUGUGGACCCAGACAUGCUCACAGUGGAGUGAAUUUCCCCCAGGUCUCAGAUGUAAGGGGCAAAGUCAAGGAAGGCUCUAACCCUAAUCUUCUGGGUCCAGAUCUAGUCCACUUUCAUCCCACCAUGUGGUGUAGCCCUACAAAUAAGUUGAAUUCCAAAUUCUAAGCAAGCAUUGACUAAUGCAAAAAUGGUUAAAAGGCCAGAACCCUAGAGGCAGGAAAUGUCACCUUCCUUGAUUAAACCUGGGAAAUGUACCCAUUAUGGAUAAGAUUUGCUGUCUACAGGAAACCGUCUUAGACAUAAACUGAUCCUAUCUUCCAGCCAAAGUGAUUUGAAGAUGGCUUAACUAAGGAGAUUUAAGUAGCUGACUACCUUGAAGGUAAUCUAUGAAAAGGGACCUCUGUCUUCGGAAAGUGCGUCUACCACAAAAGUCUGUGAGGAUGAUGGGUGUGGUUCUGUGAUAAGUGCAAUCAGAAAGUCCAUAUGAGUUCUGAAAAAGUGCAGGUGACCUUGGAGCCAGAGAGAUGGGGUUCAAAUCCUAGUUUCUCUCCCACUUUGGACUUAUUUGUGUUUAACCAUCUUCAUCUGUAAAAUGGAGAGAGCAUUGUUUUGUUUGUUUGCUUGAGAAUCUAGAGACAUUAGGAUGAUUAAACCAUACUGUACACAUCUCUGCUAAUCUUUUAAGGAAAAAUCAUGGAGAAUGGAAAAAAAAUCAGUGAGUGAAAAGAUUUCUCUGUAUCUUCGUCACAAUCCAGAGAAAAGAAGUUCAGAAUCCAAUGGUUUUGGACAACUUGGUCAUCAGAAAAAUGAAGUGUGUCCUGUCUUUGGUGUAUUUCACUAGGUUCUACCUUAUGAACAUGAUGACAAUAAUAAUAAAAAAGUACUUUGCUG
rnacentral:lncRNA from 1 species